UCCGAUAACGAACGAGACUCUGGCUUGCUAAAUAGUUUUCCUACCCGACGUGGUAUGGGAUGAAUGAACUUCUUAGAGGGACAAGUGGCUCAUAGCCACAUGAAAAAGAGCAAUAACAGGUCUGUGAUGCCCUUAGAUGUCCGGGGCCGCACGCGCGCUACACUGGAGAGAGCAGCGGGUCCUAUCCCAGACCGAAAGGCCCAGGGUAAUCCGCUGAACCCUCUCCGUGCUGGGGAUAGGGACUUGAAAUUAUGUCCCUUGAACGAGGAAUUCCUAGUAAGCGCGAGUCAUCAGCUCGCGUUGAUU
rnacentral:rRNA from 1 species